CGACGACCGGGGGGGGGGGGGUAGGCACGGUGUUUGGUUCGUCGCCGGUGCUUCCCCAUACCGUCUAGCCUUAGGGCCCAUAAAACAAAUACUUGGACGCGAUGCGAAGAUUUCAGGAAGCAAUGGGUUUGAACCGAUGAUCUGUCAAAAAAAAGAAGAUUGCUUGCUUACCUGUGCAAGAGAUCUUCCCCAUUUGGCUCAUCUCUUCUCGGAGCAAAUUGUGGCGGUCAAAGUCAAAGGUGUGUUUUAGGCCAUUGACUUGAAAAGGUAACAAAUACAUGCAACCAUCCUUUAACAACUGUUGGAGAAAAGAAACAGGAUAAAGGAUAUCCUUGAAUCACACUUGAAGUUCGCGCUCACAGAUCUUUGAAACCACACAUGCACUCAUAGUCUCAUAGUCAGUUUACAUUUACUUAGCAUUAAUUCACCUCUAUUCCUAACUCAAAAACAGAUAAAACAUAUAUAAAAUAUAUAACUGUUUGUUUGUAAAAAAUGGGUGAUGUCCACAAAAUGUCUCAUAUUUCGAUAAACAGUACAAUUGGAAAGCGUCAGCUGAAAGUAGCUCGUGUGUAAUUAAAGAAGAAACUGACCCAUAAAAGCAGCUUCGUCGUGCGACAUAUUACACUUUAUUUGAAGGCCACCAGUUGUUGGGCGCAGCCACGUGCCAGCUCAGUGAGGGAGGGGCACAGAGGUGCGAGGGUGGGCUGCGGCUUGGAUCUUUUAGUGAUUAACUAAGUUAUGGUAUUAUUCUGGAUCUUUAAUGUUUGUUAAUUGCAUAUACAUGUAAUUGUUACAAAUCAGUGGUAGGUGUUUUCAGAUUUGUGGUUUUGUUUUUGUUAUUUGAGUCAUCAGUUUAGAGCAAAGUGGAGGUUAUGAACAAGGAGGUGCAAUUGGCAAUGUACUAUCCUCUCUUUCUGGCAAGAUAUGUAAACAACCAAGUCUUUUUCCUUUUGUGUUAAACAGGGUCAACCCCUUAACCUCACUUUUGUCUCGAGUGAGUUAU
rnacentral:lncRNA from 1 species